CCGGAACGGUGGAUCACUCGGCUCGCGGAU
rnacentral:rRNA from 1 species